CGCGCUGCCCUCAAACCAAAGCACGCAGACUGUUUUUAUUUAUAGGCUGUUUCAACUUCAAUUUCAAAUGAUUUUCUAACAAGUUUUUAUUUUCUAAGAACAGUUUGAAUUUAGGUGUGUUCCGCCUCCUCAAUCAUUCACAUAAAAAUAGUCAUUUUUACUUUUGCGGACAAUUACAUUUUUGGGACAUUUCUGACCCGGACAAAAUUCCCCAAGCACUUUCCAAUUGUUUGUGCAGUUCAAGUCUGCAGACAUUUGCUAAUCUCCCGUCAGAAAAGGAUCUGCACACGUGUUCACAUUUUCCAUCUGUUGCCCUCAUUGUUUUCGUUACUAAUAAUAACUUUGGAAAUGUGUGCGUUUCUAUCAAAUGGCGCAGCGGUCAAAGGCACAGCACGGUGCUAGAGACGUCACUACAGACUCCCUGGUUCAAAUCCAUGCUGCGUUUCUAAAAACCACAAACAGUAUUUGCCAAUAUCAUAACUGGACAUCUUUCGAGCUGAAGAUUGAGGACAGCUUUUGUAUGCUAACGUUCUCUCCUUAACAGUUUUACUGGAUGGAAACACAGCAAGAAAACACAUAGGCCAAUAUGUAAUAGUCGUCUAUUUUAUUGAAGUAUUGGUAGUUGGUUCAACAACAACUUGUUUUACUAGAGGACAAAAAAUGUAAUAUGCAUAACCCAUAUUUAAUAUUCAUGCAGU